rnacentral:rRNA from 1 species
GAUGAACGCUGGCGGCGUGCCUAAUACAUGCAAGUCGAGCGAACAGACGAGGAGCUUGCUCCUCUGACGUUAGCGGCGGACGGGUGAGUAACACGUGGAUAACCUACCUAUAAGACUGGGAUAACUUCGGGAAACCGGAGCUAAUACCGGAUAAUAUAUUGAACCGCAUGGUUCAAUAGUGAAAGACGGUUUUGCUGUCACUUAUAGAUGGAUCCGCGCCGCAUUAGCUAGUUGGUAAGGUAACGGCUUACCAAGGCAACGAUGCGUAGCCGACCUGAGAGGGUGAUCGGCCACACUGGAACUGAGACACGGUCCAGACUCCUACGGGAGGCAGCAGUAGGGAAUCUUCCGCAAUGGGCGAAAGCCUGACGGAGCAACGCCGCGUGAGUGAUGAAGGUCUUCGGAUCGUAAAACUCUGUUAUUAGGGAAGAACAAAUGUGUAAGUAACUAUGCACGUCUUGACGGUACCUAAUCAGAAAGCCGCGGCUAACUACGU